CAACUUUCAGCAAUGGAUCUCUUGGCUCUCGCAUCGAUGAGAACGCAGCGAAACGCGAUAUGUAAUGUGAAUUGCAGAUCUACAGUGAAUCAUCGAAUCUUUGAACGCACCUUGCGCUCCUUGGUAUUCCGAGGAGCAUGCCUGUUUGAGUGUCAGUAAUU
rnacentral:rRNA from 1 species